GUGCUGGCUUUGGCAGCACAUAUACUAAAAUUGGAACGAUGUAGAGAAGAUUAGCAUGACCUCUGCACAAGGAUGACACACAAAUUUGUAAAGUGUUCCAUAUUUAA
ensembl:snRNA U6 U6 spliceosomal RNA